rnacentral:lncRNA from 1 species
AGUCCCCUCCCCACCCUAUCCUGGAGCUUGUCAAGGCCACCAGAGACCUGCUCCCUGUGCCGUCUCAGACUGGACUCUGGGGUCUCCGGUGCCUCCUCUGAUUCUGCACCUCGGUGCAGCCUCUGGCCUGGCUGCGCUCUGAGGAGCUCCCUGUGGCCACCGAGCCCUUGGAACGUGGCCAGUUCCAUUCUCAAACUGCUGUGAGUGCAAAGCUCAUGCUGGAUUUUGAAGAUUUGGUGAGAAAAAAAAUUUCUUUGUAAAAUGUCAGUAUUUCAUCAAUAGUAUAUUUUGUUGAUGAUAUGUUGAGAAACUAUUUUGGAUAUGUUUGUUUAAGUAGAUUGCUGGCCAGGCAUGGUGGCUCACUCCUGUAAUCCCAGCACUGGGAGGCCAAGGCAAGAGGAUCGCUUGAGGCCGGGUGGUUGAGGCUGCCGUGAGCUGUAAUGGUGCCACUGCCCUCCAGCAUGGAUGACAGAGACCCCACCUCUAAAAACAAUUAAUUAAUUAAAAUUAAAUCAGUAAAAAAUUUUUUUAAUUAAAAUUUUAAAAAAUAGAUUAUUAAAACAAAUAUCACCCAUUUACUUUUGCUUUUUUAGAAACAUUGGUACUGGAAGAUUUAGCAUUGGGUGUGCAGGGCCCACCCUCUUCGCUCAUGUCACUGGCCCCUUCCACUGGCGGCAUUGCAGGGGGAGCCGCCGUGCAUCCAGAAGUGAGGGUCCUGGCCUGGAGAUCUGCUCCCGCAAGUCCCCCAGGACUCCGGCUUCCUCUCAGGGGUUCACUUCUUUCUUGAAUUAGAGCUGGGUCUCCUGGCCACAAAGGAGCUGUAUCUUUGAGGCUUGGAGCCUUCCCCAAAUAUGCCUCGUAUGGCACGGGGCAGGCCUCUGGGCAGUGGGCAGCGGGGGCUCGCUGCUGCCAGUCCCUGACCCCCGCCUUGGUGUGAGUGCUUCAAGUGGCUUCCCCACUGCCGUUCAAACACGAUAACUUCAGAAGGUGGCAUUUGUACCUGACAUCUUGGGAAUCUUAAGACUUUUUCUAAUGGUUUCCAAGGACAGGCUAAUAAUCAGAGAGAUGAGAACAACCUGGUCAUCAUUAGGAAAACAAAAUGUUCUCACUGCACAGGAAAAUAAGGUUGAUAUUUCUGUGAACCUACUCAAAUUAACACCCAAUCAAAACCAAUUUUUUUUUUUGAGAUGGAAUCUCACCCUUGUUACCCAGGCUGGAGUGCAAUGGCGUGAUCUCGGCUCACCGCAACCUCUGCCUCCCGGGUUCAAGCAAUUCCCAGCCUCAGCCUCCCAAGUAGAUGAGAUUACAGGCAUGAGCCACCACGCCCGGCUAAUUUUGUACUUUUGGUAGAGACGGGAUUUCUCCAUGUUGGUCAGGCUGGUCUCGAACUCCCGACCUCAGGUGAUCUGCCUGUCUCAGCCUCCCAAAGUGCUGGGAUUACAGGUGUGUGCCACCAUGCCUACCCACAAACUGAUUUUUUAAAAAUUUAUCUAGAUUGUAAAAAAAUAUAUCUUCUUCUUUUUUUUUUUUUUUUUUUUCCUGAGACGGAGUCUCGCUCUGUCGUCCAGACUGGAGUGCAGUGGCGCAAUCUCAGCUCACUGCAAGCUAUGCCUCCCAGGUUCACACCAUUCUCCUGCCUCAGCCUUCUGAGUAGCUGUGACUACAGGCACCCGCCACCACGCCUGGCUAAUUUUUUGUAUUUUUAGUACAGAUAGAAUUUCACCCUGUUAGCCAGGAUGGUCUCAAUCUCCUGACCUUGUGAUCUGGCCGCCUCGGCCUCCCAAAGUGCUGGGAUUACAGGUGUGAGCCACCGCGCCCGGCCUGUCUUCUUCUUCCUAAGUAAGUGAAGGAAAUAAUGUAUACAGUGGUCCAUUUCCAAGACAAAGUGCCUUAAAUCAGCUUAGGUCAGCAAACUACAGAAGAAACAGGAUAUACUAGGCCCCUGCUUGGAUAGCUGAUGCCUUCUUGUCAGCCUUCUCCCUCCCCUUCUCCCUCCACUUAGUUGCCCUUACCCAAACCAGGGAAGUUUCGUCUAAGAUAAAAGUUUACUAGCCUGCAAAAUAGCUCGGUUUGUCUGUCCUUAUCAGCCUGCCCAGCUACUUAGCUCAUAAGUCAAAUACGCAGAGCCCCUGGGCUGACUGGGAUUGCAAUGCAUUGUGGGCUGCAACAAAAUGCAGCAGGACAACCCAAAAGAAGACACCUAAAGCUGCUGCCCAACAACCAAUGGGAAGACUGUGACCCCACAGUACUCAGCCUAUGAGGAUGCAGGGGAGGGGCCUGUGCACUGGGAGAUAAAUCGCUGGUUGUGACUGUGCUGUGAGUGCCUGCCCAUCAGAUAGAUACCUGAUCUUGCAAGACCGUCAUCAAAAGUCUCACUUUUGCUGUCUUCUGCGUUUCUAAAUCCAUUCUUUGGGUUCGGGCGAGUGAGUUUGUUUCUCACAGUAAGCUCUAGAACUUUGUGACUUAGCAGUUUAAGGAAAAAGCAAGUCUCUGUGGGGUCUCUCAAUGGCCAAAAAAUAGAGUGAGGAAUAAAUAGAGUUUUGUUUUGUUUUGUUUUGGUUUGUGGGUUUUGUUUCUUUGUUUGAAACAGGGUCUCACUCUGUCACCCAGGCUGAAGUGCAGUGGCACCAUCACAGAUCACUGCAGACUCCACCUCCUGGGCUCAAGCAAUCCUCCUGUCUCAGCCUCCCGAGUAGCUGGAACUCCCAAGUAACACACACAUUAGCAUGCCCAGCUAAUGUUUAAAUUAGGGUUUUAAUUCACAGAGAAAUAAAGAGCAUCUGAGCAUUCAUCUUCCA